rnacentral:rRNA from 1 species
UGGGGAAUUUUGGACAAUGGGCGAAAGCCUGAUCCAGCCAUGCCGCGUGAGUGAAGAAGGCCUUCGGGUUGUAAAGCUCUUUUAGUCGGAAAGAAAGAGUCGCAAUGAAUAAUUGUGAUUUAUGACGGUACCGACAGAAAAAGCACCGGCUAACUACGUGCCAGCAGCCGCGGUAAUACGUAGGGUGCGAGCGUUAAUCGGAAUUACUGGGCGUAAAGGGUGCGCAGGCGGUUUUGCAAGUCAGAUGUGAAAGCCCCGGGCUUAACCUGGAAAUUGCGUUUGAAACUACAAGGCUAGAGUGCAGCAGAGGGGAGUGGAAUUCCAUGUGUAGCAGUGAAAUGCGUAGAGAUGUGGAAGAACACCGAUGGCGAAGGCAGCUCCCUGGGUUGACACUGACGCUCA